rnacentral:lncRNA from 7 species
AAACAGACCUGCUUCCUCCUUUGUGCUGCCAGUCAGGUCCUCCCUCUGCAGUCCUAUACGGGAAGAAGAUUUAUAAUAGCUGCAUGCCAUGCCAGUGUCUCAAAGAGACAGCAUCACGCCAUGUGGAGGAUUUUUAUAUGGGGUUUAACUUUGCUCCACUGAAUUGGAAAGGCUCUCAGUUGCCUGACUCUUACCUCUCUGACUACUGUUCCACUGGGAAGAUGUAAGCCAGCAUUUAUGGGGUCUUUUAUGACAUGCGGAGGAACUGAAUUCUUGGAAAAUUACAAGAAGGAAGGUCAUGAUUCCUGCUGAAAUACAGGAGGAAUCCUACCUGUAAGACAGCAGUCACAACUAAAUUUUUAACACAGUAAUAUGCAAGAACACAUUAUUGGUUUACAUUUAUGUGUUUUUCUCUAACAUUGCAGGUACUAUUUUAAAGCUCUGUUUUGUUGUUGUUGUUUGUUUGUUUGUUUGUUUCAUUGUCUUCAGUCACUGUUAUUUACACGUUAGAUGCAAGGUUAUGUAAUUUUUUUAAUGUCUUUUACCCACUCGUUAUAUAGAUAUUUGCCAAGUUUUUCAAAAAUCCUUAAAUAUUAUAUUCUUAUAUUAAAUAUUAUAUUCUUAUAUAC